GCCACCCUAGCUCAAUCGGCAGAGCAACCGCUUCGUAAGCGGUCGGUUUUGGGUUCAAGUCCCAAGGGUGGCUCUA
rnacentral:tRNA from 1 species